AUUGAACGCUGGCGGCAUGCCUUACACAUGCAAGUCGAACGGUAACAGGUUAAGCUGACGAGUGGCGAACGGGUGAGUAAUGUAUCGGAACGUGCCCAGUCGUGGGGGAUAACUGCGCGAAAGAGCAGCUAAUACCGCAUACGACCUGAGGGUGAAAGCGGGGGAUCGCAAGACCGCGCGCGAGUGGAGCGGCGGAUAUCAGAUUAGGUAGUUGGUGAGGUAAAGGCUCACCAAGCCGGCGAUCUGUAGCUGGUCUGAUAGGACGACCAGCCACACUGGGACUGAGACACGGCCCAGACUCCUACGGGAGGCAGCAGUGGGGAAUUUUGGACAAUGGGCGCAAGCCUGAUCCAGCCAUGCCGCGUGCGGGAAGAAGGCCUUCGGGUUGUAAACCGCUUUUGUCAGGGAAGAAAAGGUUCUGGCUAAUACCUGGGACUCAUGACGGUACCUGAAGAAUAAGCACCGGCUAACUACGUGCCAGCAGCCGCCGUAA
rnacentral:rRNA from 1 species